GAUGAACGCUGGCGGCGUGCCUAACACAUGCAAGUCGAACGGAAAGGCCAGGCUUGUACGGUACUCGCGUGGCGAACGGGUGGGUAACAAGUAGGUGAUCUGCCCUGCACUAAGGGUUAAGUCAGGGCGACAGGGCCGAAUACAUGACAGGAGACAUUUUUAACGUGAUGGUUGGAUAGUUAGUUCGGGGUUGGCUGAGAUUGAGGCAUAUCUGCUUGUUGGAGUGGUAAUGGCGUACCAAGGCGGCGAGGGGUAGCCGGCCUGCGGGGGUGGCCGGCCACAUUGGGACUGAGAGACGGCCCAGACUCCUACGGGAGGCAGCAGUGGGAAAGAUUGAACAAUGGGCGCAAGCCUGAUGCAGCGACGCCGCGUGGGGGAUGACGGCCUUCGGGUUGUAAACUACUUUCGCUAGGGACGAAGCUUUUUGUGACGGUACCUAGAUAAGAAGCACCGGCUAACUACGUG
rnacentral:rRNA from 1 species